CACUGUGCUUAAGUCAGAGAUGGUCUCACCAACACAGACUACCCGGAUGUUUAACAAGCAAUUCCUGAAGACAUGAUGGGUUCUUGAGCCCCUGCUAGGGGUGUUGCUUGGGCUGAGCCCUGACAGAAGGGCUGCUAUGGGUCCUCUGGUCCACUUGCCCUCCACGGGAUCCUUUGUGCUUUUUCUCUGCCUGCCUUCUGCCUGUUUGAGAUGCUGCUGGAUCCCAGAGAACCUUCAGGAGGUGUCCCUGUAUCAGUGCUCCCAGGAGGAGACCCAUCGCUGGAGGCUCCGGCCUUGAUAAAGUGUUCGAGAGUCAGCAAGAAAGGGAGCAAAACAAGAACAGUCAGAUAUAAAAAGUCAAUCAGCAUAUAUCAGCCAAGUGGCCAGUUGUCCUUUCUUGGUCACAUUAUCUUUUAUCCCAAAUAUCCUUUCUAUUUUUUUUUUUUUUUGGCAGUUAAAAUAUUACUUCUUUCAUAAAAUGGUGGUGUGAGAAAACAACGGAUUUUUGUAAAUGUCUUUACUUGGCAAACUAAAAAGCGUUUGCGACUCAGUCAGACUCGUCUUUCUGCUCAUGACU